rnacentral:rRNA from 1 species
UCCGGAAUGAUUGGGCGUAAAGGGUGCGUAGGUGGCAGAUCAAGUCUGGAGUAAAAGGUAUGGGCUCAACCCGUACUUGCUCUGGAAACUGAUCAGCUAGAGAACAGAAGAGGACGGCGGAACUCCAUGUGUAGCGGUAAAAUGCGUAGAUAUAUGGAAGAACACCGGUGGCGAAGGCGGCCGUCUGGUCUGGAUCCUGACACUGAAGCACGAAAGCGUGGGGAGCAAAUAGGAUUAGAUACCCUAGUAGUCCACGCCGUAAACGAUGAGAACUAGGUGUUGGGGGAAUAACUCAGUGCCGCAGUUAACGCAAUAAGUUCUCCGCCUGGGGAGUAUGCACGCAAGUGUGAAACUCAAAGGAAUUGACGGGGGCCCGCACAAGCGGUGGAGUAUGUGGUUUAAUUCGAAGCAACGCGAAGAACCUUACCAACCCUUGACAUCCUGUGCUAUAUUUAGAGAUAGAUAGUUCCCUUCGGGGACGCAGUGACAGGUGCUGCAUGGCU